rnacentral:ncRNA from 1 species
CAUGCAAGUAUCCGCCAUCCAGUGAAAAUGCCCUCAGCCACAUCUAUUAGAUGACCCGAGGAGCCGGUAUCAAGCUCACACUGUAGCUCAAAACACCUAGCCUCGCCACGCCCCCACGGGAUACAGCAGUAAUAAAAAUUAAGCAAUAAACGAAAGUUUGACUAAGCCAUGCAGAUAAGAGUUGGUCAAUCUCGUGCCAGCCACCGCGGUCAUACGAUUAACCCAAAUUAAUAAUUACCGGCGUAGAGUGUGGUUAGAACUCAAAAACAACUAAAGCUAAACUUAGUCUUAGCUGUAGAAAGCCCAAGACCAAUGGAAACUCAAUUACCAAAGUAGCUUUAUAUAAUACGAAUCCACGAUAGCUGAGACACAAACUGGGAUUAGAUACCCCACUAUGCUCAACCCUAAACCUCGAUGAUUAGUAACAAAAUCAUCCGCCAGAGAACUACGAGCAAUUGCUUAAAACUCAAAGGACUUGGCGGUGCUUUAUACCCACCUAGAGGAGCCUGUUACAUAAUCGAUAAACCCCGAUAAACCCAACCAUCACUUGCUAAAUCAACCUAUAUACCGCCAUCUUCAGCAAACCCUUAAAAGGACUAAUAGUAAGCCCAAAUGUUAUCACAAAAACGUUAGGUCAAGGUGUAGUCUAUGUGAUGGGGACAAAUGGGCUACAUUUUCUAGUUAAGAACAAUACGAACUUCUAUAUGAAAUUGUAGAAUAAAGGAGGAUUUAGUAGUAAACCAGAAAUAGAGAGUCUGAUUGAACUAGGCCAUGAAGCACGCACACACCGCCCGUCACCCUCCUCAAGUACCGGAACUUGAAAAUCUUAUUUUACUUCACAAAGUAUCAGAGGAGACAAGUCGUAACAAGGUAAGCAUACUGGAAAGUGUGCUUGGAUUACUCAAAGUGUAGCUUAUACAAAGCACCUGGUUUACACCCAGAAGAUUUCAUUUACAUGACCACUUUGAACCAAACCUAGCCCCAACAAACAUACAUAUAAUAACAUAUAAGCAUAAAAUAAAACAUUUAACAAUAAAAGUAUAUGAGAUAGAAAUAUUACCAAGGGCGCUAUAGAAAAAGUACCGUAAGGGAAAGAUGAAAGAUUGUUCACAGUAAAAAAUAGCAGAGAUUAAACCUCCUACCUUUUGCAUAAUGGGCUAACUAGAAAUUCUUUGACAAAGAGACCUGAAGUCAAAACCCCCGAAACCAGACGAGCUACUUAUGAACAAUUAUUAGAAUGAACUCGUCUAUGUAGCAAAAUAGUGAGAUGAUUUGUAAGUAGAGGUGAAAAGCCAAACGAGCCUGGAGAUAGCUGGUUGUCCAAAAAAAGAAUCUAAGUUCAACCUAAAUCUAUGCCAACCUAAACCCAAAAUUAUUAUGCAAGAUUUAAAGUUAUUCAAUAGAGGUACAGCUCUAUUGAAAAUAGGACUCAACCUUACAAGGAGAGUAARAAUAAUUACUAACCAUAGUUGGCCUAAAAGCAGCCAUCAAUUAAGAAAGCGUUAAAGCUCAAUCAAAAUUUCCUUAAUAAUACCUUUAAUAUAUACUAACUCCCUUAUACUAUAUUGGACUAUUCUAUAAAUUUAUAGAAGAAAUAAUGUUAGCAUGAGUAACAAGAACUAUUUCUCCGCGCAUGAGCUUAUAUCAGAACGAAUACUCACUGAUAGUUAACAGCCAAAUAACUAAAAACCCAAUAUAAAUCAUUUAUUAACUCUACUGUUAAUCCAACACAGGAAUGCGGCCCGGAAAGAUUAAAAGAAGUAGAAGGAACUCGGCAAACACRAACCUCGCCUGUUUACCAAAAACAUCACCUCUAGCAUUACUAGUAUUAGAGGCACUGCCUGCCCAGUGACACUAGUUAAACGGCCGCGGUACUCUGACCGUGCAAAGGUAGCAUAAUCAUUUGUUCUCUAAUUAAGGACUUGUAUGAACGGCUAGACGAGGGUUCAACUGUCUCCUACUUCCAAUCAGUGAAAUUGACCUUCCCGUGAAGAGGCGGGAAUGACUAUAUAAGACGAGAAGACCCUAUGGAGCUUAAAU